AAGCGUCCUUAUGUCAGGGGUUUUCAGAAUCAGAAACAGUGGGCCUCCUUUUUGACACAACAUACAUUUAUUAGCCGACUUUUAUCAACUGUGUUAACAUUAAAAAUUAAAAGUUAGGCUAUUAUCUGAAUAAUAACAUUGUUGUGUUUUCUGACCGUUUUUUUCAUUGCUGUCGCGCUCAAGGGCUGUAAGGUGUUUCAGUAAACGGUAACAGUGCUCAUAUAAAACAGUCAACAUUUACUUACUUCCUCUACACUCUUAUUUGAGAUAACACAUUCGGGCUAGAUUAAAAUCAUUCGGGGGUCGAGCCCACAAUGAAUAGCUCUAGCGACGCCCCUGUAUGUCAGUGUUUACAGGGCACAGGUAUUUGUGCAUAGACACUACAUAAGAAACAGAACCCUUAUAUAAAGACAGGGUCUGUAGCGUGUAAGCUGUUUCCUACAUAAAGUGCUUAAAAAUGAAAAAAUAAACAUCACAGCAGAAGAAAAUAUGAAGUUUACAUACAGCGGGACAGUCGGACUUGGUCACUCAUACAGAAUAACUAAUGUGUGCUGGGCACUCCUGUGUCCUGGGAAUCAGUUUUAAACAAAUGACCAGUGAGGAUCUAAGCAGAUUUUAACAGAAACUUGCUGCUCUACAGAUUCAAAGGAAAAAAAGUUCAAAUUCAGUCAAUAUUUCAGUAUUCAGUAACUAAUGCUUUGGUGUGUGAUGGACAGUUACAGUAUUUGUGCAGUAAUCUUAUUCUGCUUUACAUAAUAAACUAUAAAAAAUAAAUGUUACUUGGUGACUGGUCAAAUAUCAACAAUAAAAGUUGAGCUCUUGGGUUAUUGUGUUGCUGUAGAACAUCAGUAACUUUAAUGUAGACUGCUGCUCAAGAGUUACUCAUUACCUUAGCUUACUUAGCUAACUAAAGUGUAACUAGCCAUACAUGACAUCAUUAAGAUAAUGGCAGAUUUAUUCACAUACACAAUAAAAUCAGCACUGCAAACUAACAUUAGAUUCAUAUUAAAGAAAAUGGCCAUUAUGAUGACCACAGGACGUGCUGACCUCUACCUUUUCACCAAUAUGAUGUUGAAUUGUUGUAAGAUGAAAUGGUAUGCUACUGAGGCAGAGCAGGAAUCUGAAUAGAGUCUUUCUUCUGUUCUACAACUUAAAACUAAUCCUGCGGGUCAGGCCACAGGCCAUUGGUGGUCAGGUGGUGGGAUAGUGUCAGGGUUUUCUUAAAUCGUAGGCUACAGUAUUUCAGGCUGUGACACUGCAGUGUUAAUGCUCUACAGAGGUCAAUAAUAAUGCAUGUGCUGUUCCUCGGUGUACUCGCUGUGUUGUAACUGGACAACUGCUUCUUUUAUUUUGGACAACAACGUUUUUUAUUUUAUUUUUUUUACAAGAGUAACAGAAAGUUUGAUUUGUUACUUCAGAAUGUAGAGCAGUGAAAAUAAAAAGUCUCAAAGAUUUCUAUAGACUUUAGUGAAGUACAAACACUUAAAAAGAUACUUAAGUACAGGAAGGACGUUAUGACUUGCAUAAGCCACUAUAUAUGUGUCCAUCAUGCCAGCAAGAGUGGACCCCUGAUCUGAAAGACCUCCUGAGAAGUGGAUAUUAGCCAGCCUCUGCCAGCACUUCCACUCUGUACAUAAUAGAUCCACCUUUCAGGAGCUCAAGGUCAUUUUUUUGGGUCAAGGUUAGGUUUUUGUAAAGCUGUUGGAACAUCGCACCAAGUGUGGAGGAAAAGUAAGUGUAUUUGUUCUUUACUACAUUAUAUAAAUUCUUUAUAACAUCCAGUCUGGACAUAUCUACAGUGAUGCCUUGCAGCACAGCUUUUUAGAGUUUUCAUACUCUUCGUUUGAGGAAGACCAACUCUGCUGUGGUGCUCCUUUCACCUGCCCAGCAUGCACACCAGAAAUGUUGGCUGUUUCAGCAGAUGGAAACAGAAAGCUAUACCGCUUUCAUCUAAACGGAAGGUUGCUCUCUGCUUCAUUGUUUGUAUUGAUUUAUUUCUUUACCCACAUAUUUGGAUGCUAUGUGGAUUUCUCAUUUUUCUUUCUUGCUUAGCUCUGAUGACCCUGCCUUUUUUGUGGGAGUCUUUGUGGCUGAAGACAGAGCAGUGUCUGCAUUUAUUGACACCAUACAGAAAGCUGUGAAAAACGUUUUGCUAAGAAUUUUAGUAGCUGCGUUGCUAAAAUACACAUUGCAUCUACCUUUAGUCCAGAAACUUCAAAAUCCAAUUUGUAGAAUUAAUGGCAUACAUUAUAUUAAACCAAUGUUUUUAUUAAUUCAUAUCUUGUGUUAUGUGCGUCACAGACACAUGGAAGAGGCACAUUCGGGGACUCCCAGUAGCCAGCAGCGAGGGAGACUUCAAGAAGGACUUCUAAAUUGGAUGAGGAGGGGAUGGAGGUUGCUGUGUGUCAUCAUGGAUUCCUUCUGAAAGCUCUUAAUAUGUACAGGGGGAGAUAUUUGCCUAGCCCAUGUACCUUUAAAAGGUGCUUAUACCAACCAAGGCACACUUCUUUGCCAUGGUAUGGCCUGAUGGAUACUGGCCGUACCUGGAGAAAGUUGCCAGUGUCCUGCCUGCUCUACAGGAGCUCACCACCAUGAAGCCCUUCCUCAGUGUCAUGCAUGCUCGAGCCCAUGCUACCAAGUGUGAGAUUAAUUGAAGUGGUAAGAACCAGGAAGGUGCAGGGACAACAGCUAGUGAGGAGGUGGAGCAAGUCAACAGCUAUCUCUCUCGUUGUGGUCUGACAACAAAAUAUAUGUUAAAAGCAGCACGAGUGGAUAUGCUUACCCUGCAUGCAGUGGGGUGGAACCAGAAGAAAAGCCUCUCUCUACAUAUUACACUUUCCAUAAUAUAUGUUAAGGCA